rnacentral:rRNA from 1 species
AUUGAACGCUGGCGGCAGGCCUAACACAUGCAAGUCGAACGAGUGGCGGACGGGUGAGUACUGUCUGGGAAACUGCCUGAUGGAGGGGGAUAACUACUGGAAACGGUAGCUAAUACCGCAUACCAUCGGAUGUGCCCAGAUGGGAUUAGCUAGUGGGGGGGGUAACGGCUCACCUGGGCGACGAUCCCUAGCUGGUCUGAGAGGAUAACCAGUCAAACUGGAACUUGGAAACGGUCCGGACUCCUCCGGGAGGCAGCAGUGGGGAAUAUUGCACAAUGGGCGAAAGCCUGAUGCAGCCAUGCCGCGUGUAUGAAGAAGGCCUUCGGGUUGUAAAGUACUUUCAGCGGGGAGGCGUUACCCGCAGAAGAAGCACCGGCUAACUCCGUGCCAGCCGCCGCGGUAAUAC